CGUCGCGUAGAUGAUAACGAACACGGCCGGGUAAUUGUGUGCGAAGACUUUGGAAUGGCAGCGUGUGUGUCGCCGACGAAUGCCAGUAAAUAAAGGAUUAUUGCCGGCGAGCAAUUGAGAAAGCGCGAAACGUAGCAAAAGUCGUAUUGUCAGCGACAACGACUGCGAUGGACUAAUUUGAAGAUCGAUGCGCGCGUCAGAGAAUCGAUUCAUCAAACACCAGCUUUCUUCGCUUCGGGACGGAAGUCGGGGCUGUCGCGUAAUCUCGCGUUGUUUUAUCGAUGGCGUAAUUGAAGCGAGAUUGAAGCGAGAUUGAAACGAGAUUGAGACGUUUCACUCAGCUUUGUCAUAUAAUGGAAAGAGAACCGAAAGGACAUUCGACGAUCGCGCAACUAAUCGGACCAAAUCUGAAUCUGACCUUCACUUGGCCUUCUUCUCUGUCACCAUCACAUUUAAUUUCUCGUGUUGUGUCGCUUGGAAUUUUAAUUAUCCGCUUGUAAACGUCAAUCUCAAGUAUAAACGUGGAAUGUAUUUAAAAAUAGAAUUUAUGAAAUGGAGAGCCAAGAUUCCUAAAAUAACAAGCGAUUACUACCAUAUCACGUAAUCACGAUUUAAUGAAGAGUUCUUGCCCUUGGCCUUUGAAUAAAAAAUAAGAUGAAGAAACGGCGAAGAAUAAAUGAAUAAAAAAUGUAGUACAAGGCAUGGGGUAUUGAGGUAUUUUGUCGAAAACAAAGGGUCAACAGUUCCUUGAGAAGUCCAAACCUCUUCGAUAUGCCGACUUCUCUCACAACUUCAUAAAUUAUUUGCGGUUUUUGUAAAAAAAAAAAAAAAA